rnacentral:lncRNA from 1 species
UGAUUUUUAAACUUAUAACAAUGUAUCACAGACUUUAAAAUGAUGUUUAAAGAGAAAUUCUAGCAUUCAUCUACUUAUUUAUCCACCUGCAUGUAUUGAGUGCCUGCUCUAAAUGCCAAGUGCUCUGCUGUAAUUGGAAGUAGAAUGCUGAACCUGGUAAGUAAGGAUACUCCUUUUACAGAGCUGAAACCUGCAGCAUGCAAUACUGAGAGGUGAAGGCAGCUGGACUUCCUGGCUAAAGGUUUGUAAACGCUCCAAUCAGCACUCUGUAAAAACUGACCAAUCAGCGAUCUGUAAAACGGACCAGUCAGUGCUCUGUAAAAUGGACCAAUCAGCAGGACGUGGGCAGGGCCAAAUAAGGGAAUAAACGCUGGCCACCCGAGCCCACGGAGGCAACCCACUUGGGUGCUACUCCACGCUGUGGAAGUUUUGUUCUUUCCCUCUUCGCAAUAAGUCUUGCUGCUGCUCAGUAUUUGGGUCUGCGCUACCUUUAUGAGCUGUAGCACUCCCCACGAAGGUCUGCAGCUUCACUCCUGAAGCCAGCAACACCACGAACCUACCGGGAGGAACAAACAACUCCAGAGGCACCACCAUUAAGAGCUGUUAACACUCACUGCGAAGGUCUCCGGCUUCACUCCUGAAGUCAGUGAGACCUCGAACCCACCCGAAGGAAGAAACUCCAGACAGAUCUGAACAUCUGAAGGAAUAAACUCCGGACACACCAUCUUUAAGAACUGUAACACUCACCGCGAGGGGCCGCAGCUGCGUUCUUGAAGUCAGCGAGACCAAGAGCCCACUGGAAGGAACCAAUUCCGGACACAGUAUGAUAACCCCUAGCCACGUGUGGCUACUGAGCUCUUGAAAUAUGGCUACUCCAAAUUGAGACUUGCUGAAAGCAUAAGAUAGUCAAUUUUUCAAUGAUAGUAUGAAAAAAGACAAAGUAUUGAAUUGAUAAUUUUAUAUUGAUUACAUGUUGGAAUAAUUAUAUUUUGGAUAUAUUGGGCUAAAUGACAC